rnacentral:rRNA from 1 species
UACAGAGGUCCCGAGCGUUAAUCGGAAUUACUGGGCGUAAAGCGUGCGCAGGCGGUGAUGUAAGACAGUUGUGAAAUCCCCGGGCUCAACCUGGGAACUGCAUCUGUGACUGCAUCGCUGGAGUGCGGCAGAGGGGGAUGGAAUUCCGCGUGUAGCAGUGAAAUGCGUAGAUAUGCGGAGGAACACCGAUGGCGAAGGCAAUCCCCUGGGCCUGCACUGACGCUCAUGCACGAAAGCGUGGGGAGCAAACAGG